UCCACCCAGGGCUCACCUGGGUGGACAACAGGGGCGGAACCGGAUUCUAGUGGGGCGGGGGAUGAGGGAGGAGCGGUUCAGUCAUCCCUCAAGGUUCUCACUUUGAGAUCUGGCAGAGCCUGGAGCUCCGUACUCUGCUGAUGGUGUCUGCUUCCCUCAGACCAAGUUGAUUUUGGGAGUAGAGCACAGCAGCCUGGGCUUGAUUGUCACUUUGGCAGCUACAGCAUUCACUGCAGCUGUGAACGGUAGCAGUGAAAGCAUACAUCAAUGACUUGCUCCUGACGAGAAUGGGAAUGCUUCUAACAUUUCACAUUCAAGAGAAGGAGCCUUGGAGAAUUCGUUGAAUAAUUGCCCGUAUUUUGGGAUUAUUUGGAAGAGUUAAUAUGGUGAUUCGUUUUCCCUGACCACUUGGGGGAACUGACCCACAAAACUGCCUGCCUUAGAACGGUAGAGGGUGGAUUGAGCUUUAAAUACAUUUUCAGUUUGUGGACGUACCAUUGGUUUUAUCCAUUCACCAAUUGGAAAAAGUAUUGAUUGUCAAUUUCAAAUAAGCUGCUAUAUAUGUUUUUGUGUACGUGAUUUUGUGUGUAUGAACCUGUUUCCAAUUUUCCUUGAUAAAACCUAGGAGUACAAUUGCUGUGUGUAAUGGUAAGUCUAAGUUUUGCUAUAUUAGAAAUAGCCAAAGCCCCUUCUAGAGUGAAUGUGUUCUUUUUCUUCUCUACCAGCAAUGAAAGAGAAUGCCACAUCUUUUGUACAAUUUGGUAUUUUCAGGUUGUUGCAUUGUAUCAAUUGUAACAGGUGGGUAGAAGAAUGUUACUGCUGUUUACAUUUGUAUUUUUAUUGAAUAAUUAUGGUAAUCAUCUUUUCAUAUGCUUUUUUGUGAUCUGUGUAUCUUCAUUGGUGAAGUCUUGAAAUCAUUUACUAUUUUAUUGGACUCUUCAUUUUUAUGUGGUUGCAUGUUAUAAGGUGUUUAUUCAUUCAGUAUAUGAAUCCUUUAUCCGACACGGGGUUUACAAGUAUUUUCUCCCCAUUUUUGGCUUUUUUCCCCAUUCCUUUAAGUGUUUUUUUUUUUUUAGUAAACAUUUUAGAGUAAUUUUAAAUUUACAGAAAAGUUGCGAAGACAGUUAAGAGGGUUUUCCUAUACAUCAUGUCCAGUUUCUCCUAUUAUUAACAUCAUGCAAUAAUAUGAUACAUUCUUCAUAAUUCAUAAAUCAAUAUUCACCUGCACAUUCCUGUCAUUGUUUGAGGAUCCCAUCUAGGAUACCAUGCUACUUUAGUCUAAGCUGUGAUAGUUUCUCAGACUAUUCUUGUUUUUGAUGACUUUAACAGUUUUGGGGAGUAUCGAUCAGGCUAUUUGUGGAAUUACCCUCAUUUGGUAUUUGUCUGAGUUUUUUCAUAUAUAGACUUGAGUAAUGGCUUUGGGGUAGGAGACCAGAGAGGCGAAAUGCCAUUCUCAUUACACGAUAUUUUAGCAACAUGACUCAUCGCUGUUGAUGUUGACUGAUGAACUGGCUGAGGUAGUGUUGUCAGGAUUUCCCUCUGCAAGGUUAUUACAUUCCCCCCUUUCUGUAUUGUGCUUUAUAAAAGAAAGUCACUAAGGGCAGCCAUUGGGUAGUAGGGAAGUAUGGUCCACCUUCUUGGGAAGGGGUAGUAUUGACAUGAAUGAUUUGGGAUUCUUCUCAAUGGGAGAUUUGUUUAUUCUCCCCCAUUAUUUGUAUUUAUUUAACCUUCAAUUUGUCUCGGCUGAACUCAUGGUAAUUUAUUAUAUGUUUGGGGUUAUAAUUCAACACCACUUUUAUUUUGCUGCUCAGAUUGUUCCAUCUUUGUCCAUUGGAAGCUCUUUCAGUUGGCUCUGAUGUCCCCUUCACGUAACUGAGCCAUUACAUUUGUUUGUAGCUCUGUCUUACUUUAUGGUAUGACAAGAUGAUGCAGGCUCAUUUUUAUAUUUCCUGUUCCAGUCAUAGAAGAGUCAAUUUUCCAUGGUUUCUGCUUCCUUUUAUGGGAGAAGAGUAUUGGAAUGUGAGAGGUGGGUGCUUGGCAUGCUCAUUGUUCCUGAGGAUUUGUUAUUCCUAGCCACCUCAAUUCUCAGAGUAAAGAUAUAUAUUUUGGUAUAUUAACCUGUGUAUAUACACAUAUCUAUAAUCAGAAUUCUUAAACCCAGUCCCUGUGAGAAAUAGCUUUAGAAGCCAGACAAUACUGCUUCAGUACAGUUUCUUUUAACUUCGGUCCCAGAGACUAACUUCCACAGGUACUUAGGACAGCACCAUAUCCCCAGAUACUCAUUAGAGGUUGUUUCAUAGAUUUGUAACACAGUUAUAUUGUUUUGUCAUAUUCUAUACUCCACCUUGGCAUUCCUCGACCUCCUAAUUUUUUCAAUUUUGCAUACAUUGAGGUUUACUCUUUGUGCUUUAAGGUUUUAUGCUUUUUGACAAAUGCAUAAUAUAUUCCAUUUUUUGACAGCAUGUCAUCAACCAUGACAUGACAAAAUCAAUCAUUACAGUAGCCUAGAGAAUAGUUUCACCUGUCUAAUAAAUUCCUUCUGCUUAUCCUAGUCAUACCUUUUCCCCACCCCUGAUCCCUGGCCACAACAGGUAUUUUUACUGUCGUUAUAGUCUUGUCUUUCCAGAACGUCAAAUAAAUUGCAUCAUAUACUAUGUAGUCUUUUCGGACUGGCUUCUUUUACUUAGAAUUAAGCAUUUAAGAUUUAUUCAUGUUUUUGUGUGCCUAGAUAAGUAAAUAUUUUGGUUGAUGAAUAGUGUUCUGUUGUUGUUGGACCACAGUUUGUUUAUUCAUCUGUCUCUUGAAGAACAUCUUUGUUGUUUCCAGUUUUGGCCAAUUAUUAAAUAAGCUGCCACACCCAUUCAUAUGCAGGUUUUUUUUGUGGGCAUAAAUUUGCAAAUUAGUUCAAUGUAUACCUAGGAGUGUCAAGAAUUUGUUCAGCUUUGUAAAAAAAUCAACUGACAAACCAUCUUUGAAAGUGGCUGUACUACUUUGCAUUCCCAACAGCAACAAAUGAGAGUUCCUUGUUGCCAGGAAUUGGUAUUGUCAGUAUUUGGAUUUUGGACAUUCUAAUAAGUGUGUAUCUUUGUUAUUUAAUUCAUAAUUCUCUAAUAAAGAAUGACAUUGA
rnacentral:lncRNA from 1 species